CCUACGGGAGGCAGCAGUAGGGAAUCUUCCGCAAUGGACGAAAGUCUGACGGAGCAACGCCGCGUGAACGAUGAAGGCCUUCGGGUCGUAAAGUUCUGUUGUUAGGGAAGAACAAGUGCUAGUUAAAUAAGCUGGCACCUUGACGGUACCUAACCAGAAAGCCACGGCUAACUACGUGCCAGCAGCCGCGGUAAUACGCAGGUGGCAAGCGUUGUCCGGAAUUAUUGGGCGUAAAGCGCGGGCAGGCGGUUUCUUAAGUCUGAUGUGAAAGCCCCCGGCUCAACCGGGGAGGGUCAUUGGAAACUGGGAAACUUGAGUGCAGAAGAGGAAAGUGGAAUUCCAAGUGUAGCGGUGAAAUGCGUAGAGAUUUGGAGGAACACCAGUGGCGAAGGCGACUUUCUGGUCUGUAACUGACGCUGAGGCGCGAAAGCGUGGGGAGCAAACAGGAUUAGAUACCCUGGUAGUCCACGCUGUAAACGAUGAGUGCUAAGUGUUAGAGGGUUUCCGCCCUUUAGUGCUGAAGUUAACGCAUUAAGCACUCCGCCUGGGGAUCGGUCGCAAGACUGAAACUUAAGGAAUUGACGG
rnacentral:rRNA from 1 species